rnacentral:rRNA from 1 species
GGUUAAGCGACUAAGCGUACACGGUGGAUGCCCUGGCAGUCAGAGGCGAUGAAGGACGUGCUAAUCUGCGAUAAGCGUCGGUGAGGUGAUAUGAACCGUUAUAACCGGCGAUUUCCGAAUGGGGAAACCCAGUGUGUUUCGACACACUAUCAUUAACUGAAUCCAUAGGUUAAUGAGGCGAACCGGGGGAACUGAAACAUCUAAGUACCCCGAGGAAAAGAAAUCAACCGAGAUUCCCCCAGUAGCGGCGAGCGAACGGGGAGGAGCCCAGAGCCUGAAUCAGUGUGUGUGUUAGUGGAAGCGUCUGGAAAGGCGCGCGAUACAGGGUGACAGCCCCGUACACAAAAAUGCACACAUUGUGAGCUCGAUGAGUAGGGCGGGACACGUGGUAUCCUGUCUGAAUAUGGGGGGACCAUCCUCCAAGGCUAAAUACUCCUGACUGACCGAUAGUGAACCAGUACCGUGAGGGAAAGGCGAAAAGAACCCCGGCGAGGGGAGUGAAAAAGAACCUGAAACCGUGUACGUACAAGCAGUGGGAGCCUCUUAAUGGGGUGACUGCGUACCUUUUGUAUAAUGGGUCAGCGACUUAUAUUCUGUAGCAAGGUUAACCGAAUAGGGGAGCCGAAGGGAAACCGAGUCUUAACUGGGCGCUAAGUUGCAGGGUAUAGACCCGAAACCCGGUGAUCUAGCCAUGGGCAGGUUGAAGGUUGGGUAACACUAACUGGAGGACCGAACCGACUAAUGUUGAAAAAUUAGCGGAUGACUUGUGGCUGGGGGUGAAAGGCCAAUCAAACCGGGAGAUAGCUGGUUCUCCCCGAAAGCUAUUUAGGUAGCGCCUCGUGAAUUCAUCUCCGGGGGUAGAGCACUGUUUCGGCAAGGGGGUCAUCCCGACUUACCAACCCGAUGCAAACUGCGAAUACCGGAGAAUGUUAUCACGGGAGACACACGGCGGGUGCUAACGUCCGUCGUGAAGAGGGAAACAACCCAGACCGCCAGCUAAGGUCCCAAAGUCAUGGUUAAGUGGGAAACGAUGUGGGAAGGCCCAGACAGCCAGGAUGUUGGCUUAGAAGCAGCCAUCAUUUAAAGAAAGCGUAAUAGCUCACUGGUCGAGUCGGCCUGCGCGGAAGAUGUAACGGGGCUAAACCAUGCACCGAAGCUGCGGCAGCGACACUAUGUGUUGUUGGGUAGGGGAGCGUUCUGUAAGCCUGUGAAGGUGGCCUGUGAGGGUUGCUGGAGGUAUCAGAAGUGCGAAUGCUGACAUAAGUAACGAUAAAGCGGGUGAAAAGCCCGCUCGCCGGAAGACCAAGGGUUCCUGUCCAACGUUAAUCGGGGCAGGGUGAGUCGACCCCUAAGGCGAGGCCGAAAGGCGUAGUCGAUGGGAAACAGGUUAAUAUUCCUGUACUUGGUGUUACUGCGAAGGGGGGACGGAGAAGGCUAUGUUGGCCGGGCGACGGUUGUCCCGGUUUAAGCGUGUAGGCUGGUUUUCCAGGCAAAUCCGGAAAACCAAGGCUGAGGCGUGAUGACGAGGCACUACGGUGCUGAAGCGACAAAUGCCCUGCUUCCAGGAAAAGCCUCUAAGCAUCAGGUAACAUCAAAUCGUACCCCAAACCGACACAGGUGGUCAGGUAGAGAAUACCAAGGCGCUUGAGAGAACUCGGGUGAAGGAACUAGGCAAAAUGGUGCCGUAACUUCGGGAGAAGGCACGCUGAUAUGUAGGUGAAGCGACUUGCUCGUGGAGCUGAAAUCAGUCGAAGAUACCAGCUGGCUGCAACUGUUUAUUAAAAACACAGCACUGUGCAAACACGAAAGUGGACGUAUACGGUGUGACGCCUGCCCGGUGCCGGAAGGUUAAUUGAUGGGGUUAGCGGUAACGCGAAGCUCUUGAUCGAAGCCCCGGUAAACGGCGGCCGUAACUAUAACGGUCCUAAGGUAGCGAAAUUCCUUGUCGGGUAAGUUCCGACCUGCACGAAUGGCGUAAUGAUGGCCAGGCUGUCUCCACCCGAGACUCAGUGAAAUUGAACUCGCUGUGAAGAUGCAGUGUACCCGCGGCAAGACGGAAAGACCCCGUGAACCUUUACUAUAGCUUGACACUGAACAUUGAGCCUUGAUGUGUAGGAUAGGUGGGAGGCUUUGAAGUGUGGACGCCAGUCUGCAUGGAGCCGACCUUGAAAUACCACCCUU